rnacentral:rRNA from 1 species
CAGUCGCCGCGGGAAUACGUAGGUGGCAAGCGUUGUCCGGAAUUAUUGGGCGUAAAGGGCUCGCAGGCGGUUUCUUAAGUCUGAUGUGAAAGCCCCCGGCUCAACCGGGGAGGGCCAUUGGAAACUGGGAAACUUGAGUGCAGAAGAGGAGGGUGGAAUUCCACGUGUAGCGGUGAAAUGCGUAGAGAUGUGGAGGAACACCAGUGGCGAAGGCGACUCUCUGGUCUGUAACUGACGCUGAGGAGCGAAAGCGUGGGGAGCGAACAGGAUUAGAUACCCCAGUAGUCCCUGUCUCUUAUAA